rnacentral:rRNA from 1 species
UAUCUGAACCUUCGGGAACCGAGAACGGAGUCGAGCGUGGGACGGUCGAGUAAUGCCUAAGAAUUUGCCCUGAUGCGUAGCAUAGUCAUCGUAAACGAUGGCUAAUACCGCAUGAUGCCUACGGGCCAAAGAGGGGGACCUUCGGGCCUCUCGCGUCAGGAUAUGCCUAGGUGGGAUUAGCUAGUUGGUGAGGUAAGGGUUCACCAAGGCGACGAUCCCUAGCUGGCCUGAAAGGAUGAUCAGCCACACUGGAACUGAGACACGGUCCAU